UACGAGGGGGGCAAGCGUUGUUCGGAAUUAUUGGGCGUAAAGGGUGCGUAGGCGGUCUGAUAAGUCAUCUGUGAAAUCUAUGGGCUCAACCCAUAGUCUGCAGGCGAAACUGUCGGGCUUGAGUAUGGGAGAGGUGAGUGGAAUUUCCGGUGUAGCGGUGAAAUGCGUAGAUAUCGGAAGGAACACCUGUGGCGAAAGCGGCUCACUGGACCAUUACUGACGCUGAGGCACGAAAGCUAGGGGAGCAAACAGG
rnacentral:rRNA from 1 species